rnacentral:sRNA from 1 species
UCGUUAAAGAUGUAUAUGUGUUCGCGAU